ACACGCCUUUUAGUUACUCCUGCUUUGUGUUUUGUUAUUCUGUUUCGAUGAGAUCUGACUCACUCUGAACACAUAAAGAGCAAACCAAAGUGAGUUUUUCUUUCGUUUAAUUCCAUCCAUGUCCUGAAACCAAAACAAGGUUUUCCCCUUAUUUUCUUUGCUUCGCAGAGAUGAAGAGAAUGAGAGAUGAUAUUUUCUCAGCCCCAGCCCCAGCCCCUGCCCCUGCCCCUGAAUUUAAACGGCCCUUAACUUCGACACGUGGAGAAUCCUAUGGGCAAACACAAAUCCCUGGCGGCGGUGGUGGCGGAGGUAGUGGUAAUUCGCAGAAACUAACUACCACCGACGCCUUACAAUAUCUAAAGGAAGUAAAGGACAUGUUUCAAGACCAGAAGGAAAAAUAUGACAUGUUCCUCGAAGUCAUGAAAGAUUUCAAGGCUCAAAGAACUGACACUUCCGGUGUCAUUGUAAGAGUAAAGGAGUUAUUCAAAGGUCAUAAUAACUUGAUAUUUGGAUUCAACACCUUCUUGCCCAAGGGAUAUGAAAUAACCCUAGAUGAGGAUGAGGCAGCUCCGCCAAAGAAAACUGUUGAAUUUAACCAAGCUAUCAAUUUUGUAAACAAAAUAAAGAAACGUUUCCAAAAUGAUGAACGUGUUUAUAAAUCAUUUCUAGACAUUUUGAAUAUGUACCGGAAGGAACACAAGGACAUAAAUGAGGUCUACAGUGAGGUUUCAGCUCUUUUUGAGGAUCAUCAUGAUUUGCUUGAUGAGUUUGCUAGAUUUUUGCCAGAUACUUCAGCAACACCCAUUACACAUACUGUUCCAUAUGCUCGGAAUUCUAACCAGCAUUACAAUGAACGGAAUUCUACUGCACCCUCCGCACGACAAACACAAAUAGACAAGCAGCGUCGGCGUGACAAAGUUUCUUCUUCCCAUGCUGAGCGUGACCUUAGUGUUGAUCGACCAGAGAUGGAAGAUGACAAAGGAAUGGUGAAAGUGCAUAAGGAGCAGAGAAAACGUGCUGACAAGGAGAAUUGGGAUAGGAGAAUUCAUGAUCAGGAUGAUAGGGAGCCUGAGCAUGAUAGCAGUAGAGACUUCAGCUUGCAACCUUUUCUUGAGAAAAGGAAUUCUUCCCAGAAGGUGGAAGGUUUUGGAAAUUCUAACUUUGCUUGUUAUGAUGACAAAGACAACAUAAAGAGCAUCUACAACCAAGAAUUUGUUUUCUUUGAGAAAGUCAAGGAGAAGUUGGGAAAUGGAGAUGAUUAUCAAGCAUUCUUGAAGUGCCUUAACAUUUAUAACCAAGGGAUUAUUAAAAAGAACGAGUUACAAAAUUUGGUGACUGAUUUACUUGGAAAGUAUCCUGAUCUUAUGGAAGAGUUCAUUGAUCACCUGGAGUGUCAUGGGCAUAUUGAUGGGUUCCUUGCUGGUGUUACGAGCAAAAAAUCCCUGGGUAACGAUGGACAAGCAUCCAGAUCUUUGAAACUAGAGGACAAGGAAAAGGAGCAGAAGCAAAUAGACGGAGCUAAAGAAAAGGAAAGAUGCAGGGAGAAGUAUAUGGCUAAAUCCAUUCAGGAGCUUGACCUUUCUAACUGUGAACGUUGUACUCCUAGUUAUCGGUUUCUACCAGAUGAUUAUCCAAUAUCUUCAGCAAGCCAGAGAUCAGAGCUUGGUGCUCAAGUGUUGAAUGAUCACUGGGUCUCUGUAACAUCAGGAAGUGAGGACUACUCUUUUAAACAUAUGCGUAGAAAUCAGUUUGAAGAAAGUCUGUUUAGAUGUGAAGACGAUAGAUUUGAGCUGGACAUGUUGUUGGAAUCUGUGAGCUCCACUACCAAGCGUGCAGAAGAAUUGUUUAAUGGCAUAAACGAAAAUAAAGUAGAAACCUCAAUCCAUAUUGAAGACCACUUUACCGCUCUAAACUUAAGGUGUAUAGAGCGGUUAUAUGGUGACCAUGGUCUUGAUGUGAUGGAAAUAUUGCGGAAAAACCGAAGUCUUGCAUUGCCUGUUAUUUUAACUCGUCUGAAGCAGAAACAAGAGGAGUGGACUAGGUGUCGUACUGAUUUUAACAAGGUUUGGGCUGAAAUUUAUGUGAAAAACCAUUACAAAUCACUAGAUCAUCGCAGCUUCUACUUCAAGCAACAAGAAUCAAAGAACUUGAGCACAAAAUCAUUGGUGGUUGAGAUCAAGGAGCUGAAAGAAAAACAGCAGAGAGAGGAUGGUGUUCUUCUUGCUUUCGCCACUGGAAAAAGACAACCCUUGGUUCCGAAUUUGAAAUAUAAUUACCCAGAUAAAAAAAUUCAUGAAGACUUGUAUAAACUUGUCCAAUAUUCUUGUAAAGAGGUUUGCUCAACCAAAGAACAAUUAAAUAAAGUUAUAAGACUUUGGACUAACUUCGUGGAACCAAUGCUGGGUAUUGUUUCUCAUCCUGAUGGCUCGGAGAGUUGUGAAGGUGAAGGGAAACCAAAGCAUCCUCUCAUGAAUUGCACUUCAUCAAGCAUAGCAGAAAAGGAUGGAAGUCCUAAUGCUGUUCCUGCAAUAUCAACUUUUAAGCAAGCAAAAUCACCUAGCAAUGGAGAUGAAAACAUGUUGCAAGAACUAGGAAACCUUUGCAAGCUCAGUUUGAAAAGUUCAGAUAAAUUAGCUAAGGAAGAUAGCUUAUGUGAACUUGAUCAUGUUGGUAAGGAAGAUGGAGCGCUUAAUGUGCUUAGACCAGAAAGAGAGCAGAAAGAUAAAGUUGUAACUGACAGAGUAUCUGGAUUUAACAUACAAGGAGUAGCAGAUACCAAAACAUCAUUUAUGAUAGGAUCAGAAUGUGGUCAUGAAAGGAACAGUGCUGGGGAGAUAGCAGGUUCAGGUUCAAAUGUGUCUGUGCCAGGUGGUGAUGCUAUUGACCGUCAACUCAAUGCUGGUAUUGAUGCUGGACCUUCUUCAGAGGGUGUGAUUGUUGUAAAAUCAGUUUUACCUGCAAAUGAAGGAGUAAGGGAUGGUGCUAAAAAUGAUAGAUGUCAUGAAGAAUCCACUGGACCAUCCAAAAUUGAGAAGGAAGAAGGCGAGUUAUCCCCUAAUGGUGAUUUUGAAGAGGAUAAUUUCGAUGCCUAUGGAGAUACUGGCUUGCAGGCUAUUGCCACGGGAAAGAAUAGUAUUGGAUGCAUGCGGCAUGGAUCUGGAAAUGAUGAGGACUUACACACUCAGGAUAUCGUAGAAGGACAUGAUGCUGAUGAUGAGGAUAGUGGGAAUGUUUCUGAGGCUCGUGAUGCUGCAUCAAGCAGCGAGUCUGCUGGUGAUGAGUGCUCCCGGGAAGAGCUUGAGGAUGAUGAAGUAGAACGUGAUGAUGCGAAAGCUGAGAGUGAAGGUGAAGCUGAGGGGAUGGUUGAUACACAGUAUAAUGGAGGAGAUGCACCAUUCCCAGAACACUCUCUCAUGUCUGUUAAGCCCCUUGCAAAGCAUGUUCCAACAGAUUUAGUUAACGAGAAAAGGAGAGAUUCCUGGGUUUUCUAUGGAAAUGAUGAUUUUUAUGUGCUUUUCAGGCUUCAUCAGAUCCUCUAUGACCGUAUUUUAUCAGCAAGAGUGAAUUCAUCUGGUGCUGAAAUCAAAUGGAGAACUUCUAAGGAUGCUAGUUCUCCAGAUCCUUAUGCCAGAUUUAUGAGUGCACUAUACAGUUUACUAGAUGGAUCUGUUGAUAAUGCGAAGUUUGAGGAUGAGUGCAGAGCUAUUAUUGGAAAUCAGUCAUAUGUGUUAUUCACACUGGACAAGUUAAUAUAUAAAUUAGUCAAACAGCUCCAAACUGUUGCAACUGAUGAGAUGGCUAGUAAGCUUCUUCAAUUGUAUGAAUACGAAAUAUCCCGGAAAUCUGAGAGCUUCAAUGAUUUGGUGUAUUAUGACAACAUGCGGUUUUUCCUUCAUGAGGAGAACAUAUAUCGGUUGGAAUUUUCAUCUGCUCCAUCUGUUUUAUCCACCCAGCUGAUGGACAACGCAACUGAGAAAUCUGAAGUGUUGGCAGUUUGCAUGGAUCCAACUUUUUCUGCAUAUUUGCAUAAUGAUUAUCUCUCUGUCCAUCCUAUAAAAAUGGAGUCGCAUGACAUUACACUGCUGAGAAACAAGCGGAAAUAUGCUGGCCUAGAUGAAUUUUCUGCCUUAAGCAUGGCCAUGGAAGGCGUUAAAAUGUUCAAUGGUUUGGAGUGUAAGGUUGCCUGCAAUUCAUGCAAGAUUUCCUAUGUCCUAGACACGGAAGAUUUCUUUUUUCGAACAAGAAGGAAAAGAAGAAAUUCACCUCAAGGAAGAUCUUUGUAUCAUGAUAAGGUUCAAGCAAGAGUACAACGCUUCCGGAGAUUCUUAUCAGCUUAAUGAAAUAAGCAAUACUUUUCAUCAGACAAGGAUGCUUUCUAUUGAAGUUAGAAGGACUUCUUCAAGACAACAUCUUCAUAUAUUAUUUAACAUUCACGCCAACUUGUCAAAUGGAGACCUGAGAAAUGGACCUGCUCGAGCGUUCAGAGGAUAACUUUCAUCAAGACUUGUCAUCCGGGGGAAACGAAGGCAGAUGACAAAUCCUCUGGUUUCUCAGCGCACAUUAUCGGAUGUCAGUCUUUAAACUAAAGGGCUGGAGUGGAACACGUUGCGGAUGCUCUUUCAUUCGAAUUGCUUUAUCACCGGCUCUAUAGAACUGUGUUUCAUUAUCCCUUUGGGUGCGUGCUCACAUGGUCCGUCCAUGUGCCAGGCACAUCAGAGUCAUCAAUUUUUUCCAUAACUUCUUAAAUUUUAUAAAUUAUCAAGGGAAAAGAAAAUCUUUAAAAUUUAUAAUUAAAAAAAAAACCCAAGUAUAAAGACAAACCUAGGUACGAGGAACAAAAUUCAUGGAAGAUUUAAGAUAAUCAUGUUUUAAAUUUGUUUAAUUAACAUUAUUUAAAUAAAUUAUAAAUUAAUCUAAAAGAAUUCUUAGUUUUCUACUCAUAGAACUCUUGAUUUCUUUGGAAUUAAUUCUUGAUCUAUAAUAGUUAAUCUAAUCAAAGGUAAAUAAUUAUAGAAAUUAAUUUCUUAACUUUUAAAAUUCACUAUUGAAAUUAAUCUAAAAGAACUCAUGAUUUUUCUAUUUUAAAUAACCCUUGGUUUUUUUAGAUUUUAUUCUUGAUUUGAGAUGGCUGGUAGAUAAUGGUGGAAAUUAAUUUUUAAUAAUUCUUUAAUUUUUUAUCUUUCUAAUUUCACUAUAAAAGGGAGUGAAGUGAAGAAAGAGUUUCUAAUUUAAUGUAUUUUUUAUCUUUUUAUAUUUUUACACACUCUUACUCAUCUUAUUUUUAAUGUUUUUUUUUUUUUUUUUAUGCUUUGAUUUUCCUUUAAAAAAUUUAGAGUUUAGAUUCAUUUUAUUGAGAGAUAAUCGAGUUUUUUUAUUUUGGUUCAAAGAACUUAGUUUGAAAGUACAUCUAAACCUUGAAAGAUAUUGUUAGAAUCUUGAAAGACACUGUAAACAUUUUAGUUGCACAAGUGAGGAGUAAUCAAGUCUCAAGGAUUUAUCAUUGACAACAACAAAAGAUUCAUUAUUUUAAAGCGCUUCAACAAAUUUAACAAAGAUAGAAAUGAAGACUUAGGGAUGGAUCUAUCACAAGAAAAAUCUAACUAGCUACUGGACAUACCUUCUUUUCUACUUUCAUGGAUUAAGAACAAAAAACUGCCCGUUUAAAGGCUUGGGAUGAACACUGCUAUUAUGUAAAGAUACUACACUUCCAUGAUUCAUGACCCUUAUAUACUUAUAUUUUUGCAGACUUGGGAUAGCUAAUGAAAUGAUCUAUUCUUUCUAAAUUUAUGCAUUCCAGACCGUUUGAUAAACUCUCCUAAGAAACAAGUAAUCUUGAGUUUUA